CUGCUCUCCCGUCUUGCCCGGCGUCGCCUGCUCUCCUGUCCUGCCCUGCGCCGCCGGCGACCGUGCCGCCCCGGCGAGCCGCACCCCUCACCGACCGACACGCACCCCCGCCCCAUCCCACGCCGCCAACUCGUUUCCGAUUUUGCAUACCCUGAUUUUUUCCCACAGUUGUCGGUUUCCAAUUAGAUCGAUCAUUCCGCUCCGCUCCUCCCGUCGCCAUCGACGGUUCCGUGCUCUGCGAGUUCGAUCUGUUUUUUCCAGCCGCCGUCGACCCCUAGGAGAGCUCCUUCCGAUGGCGCCGGAGUCCUGCCACCUGAUCCGCUCGGCCUGCCUUCCACUCCGCAUGAGCUCCGUGCCCUUGCGCUGGACCCGUGUGGCAGCAAGGCGUCGAUUGCGAGUUUCCUCACGCCCGGCGCCGGCGGCUUCCUCCUCACCUCAAGCAGUGGAACGCUUUGGAGAUCCACCGGCCCAGGUACACAAGGUGCGCCUCCACCCCUGUCGUAUUUGAUUCCCCAAAUUUUUUUCUCGAUUUCUUGUAUAGGUAUGUACCAGGAUGAGCUCGUUUUAGGUGGCCGAAUGUUCAGUUCCAUCAUCACCUCACCAUCUUAUAGCAGCUCAGAUAUGUCCUUCAUUUUGCCAGAUCAGACCGACGUGGAGCAGCUCAGAAGAGUUUCAGAUUUUUUGGAUGAAUCGCUGCUAAUUCCCCCGCAUGGUGCAAGGUGCCAUCUACCCUCACCCUUAUUGGACAAUUUCUAUCAUAGGUGCCGAUGCUUUGUCCAGGUUGUAGUUCAAAUUAGAUUGUUGUAAACAGUAUCUGUGUGAUUCUUAUCCAACUUUCCCUUCCCUGUUCUUGUCAGUGUAUCCUAACAAAAUAUCGAUCCGCAAGGUUGGUUCUCAACCGAGCAGUGGGGGUGACGCCGCACCCGCACGCUUCCAUGAUUUUUAGUCCGAUCACUCCCGGGUACCAAUGCAGGGGCACCCUCCCUUGAGCUGCGCAAUGCAUGGAUGAGGUUUGGUAUUGGGGGCUUUACAUGCUUCGAGACGUAGACAAGGAUGCUGAAUGCGCGCCUGCAGCCAGUAGACAAGGAUGCGGUCACAGGUACCCAUGUAUUUUAGUGUUGUUGCUCCUGCUUUAGCUGGAGACGAUGGCCACGAGCUCAACUAGUUAAUGGGAGGACAUCAUGCGCCUGUCUCUUCUCUAAUCGUGCCAACUGAUGUUUUAGCUAAUACUGAAAUUUUCAUGAGGCAACCUGUUCAACUGACACUGAUUAGGGUUUACCAAUGUUGGCAUACUAUCGAAUCAUGUGUAUACCAAUGUUAGAUCAUCGAUUUACCCAUUGUCGACAGCAUCUACUUGUGAAUCUGUAUCCUAAUGAACCAUGUCAUGAGAGAAGAGGUUGUGAGAAAAAUAACUAUAGAAGAUUGUAUAAAUAGAGUCAAUGAAAAAUAAACUUGUGCUCUGUUUAUGAACGCAAUCAUGUACCAACCUUUAGCAAAAUCUACUCAAUUUUUUGAUUAAAUUUACAUGAAUCGACUGUCUGUGUUGCUAGCCUGACCUUGAACGGUUGCUCUUCAGCUGGCAGCACACUCGCUCAGUCUGAAAUUCUGCAUCACCUUUCUAAUUUACCUGCACCUCUACUUGAUUUGACUCCGCUGAAAAAAAUUCUAAGCAGGCCAUUUGAGAUCUGGUUGGUCUAUAUAUUGCUUUAUGAUGUAAUUACACACAAUUUGCUGCUGUUUGACUCCUGAUUCCUGAACCAAGCAAUUUAUUACCAAUCAUGGUUUUCCACUUUUCCUGUAGAGUGUUGGCUGUUGAGUGCCUGUUUAGUGGCUUCAGGCCAAUGUCAUUGAUUCUAUAAUGGAGAUUAAUCAUUUUUUAUACCGUCACACUAGCCCAUGCAGCACACAUUUAACUGAACAAUCAUAGCUCUGCCUAAUUUAACAAUAGUAUACUGACAAAUUUAUACGCAAUGCACUAUUUAAUAGUUACUAAUUAGCUAAUCAUGUAAAUGGUAAACAAACACACCUUUGUUCUGUACUAACACUAUUGCUGAGGAUCUUUGUUUCUGCAGAUGUGCAGAGGAAGGAGAUGAAUGUGGAAGGCCACCAGGGAGGCUACCAUCAAUAAUUGCAACGACACAACUUACAUGUUUCUUUUAUUUCAUAUCAUCAGCUCUUGAAAACAUUUCUUAUUUGAAUGUGUCCGGGAACUUCUAUAGUUUGAUGUGCUUAGUCUGGCCCCUCACAUAUCGCAAAUCUGCUGCAUAGUUGCAAAGGCCGGCUGCAAGGACUGCUUUGCUGGAGUUGCUUUGCCGGAGAUCAGGGCCUGGAGAUGUUUGCUUGCCAAAAAUCUCACGCACAGGAGUGCUGUAACUGGAGGAGUUCCUUGCUUGCUUGCCGGAGAUGGCGGGUGGAUGGUUAAAUUUAGAUUAGAGGCAUAGAGCGGGUGUACUUCGUACACCAAAUAUCAAUUUGUCAAUCAUAUACGAAUGAAAACCGUAGGCUCUGUAUCAUAAAUGCUGUAUUUUGUUUUAUGUGGAGGCCUAUGGUGAAAUCAUGAAUCCUAAGGUUUUUAAUCAGAGACUUGCAUUUUAUUGUGACA